AAGGUUUGAACCAAGGAAUGUCAACAAGACAAGAUGAAAGUCUACACGAUGCAUGUGCAAACGGGGAUCUUCGCAAAGUACGAGAGAUCUUGCAAAAAGACUCAGAUAUCAUCAACAGGUUGAAUCAACAUAUCGGUCGCUUGGGCGACAACACUCCAUUGCACGAAGCUGCAUCUGGGGGUCAUGUUGAUAUUUUACAACUGUUGCUUAACCAUGGUGCCAGUGUGAACGCGGUGAACAAGGAGGGUUAUACACCAUUGCACCACGCUGCACGUGAGGGUCAUGAUGAUAUCUUACAACUGUUGCUUAACCAUGGUGCCAGUGUGAACGCGGUGGACAAUGAUGAUGAUACACCAUUGCACGACGCUGCAUAUCGGGGACAUGUUGAUAUUUUACAACUGCUGCUUAACCAUGGUGCCAGUGUGAACGCGGUGGACAAUGAUGGUGAUACACCAUUGCACGACGCUGCAUCUCUGGGUCAUUUUGAUAUCUUACAACUGUUGCUUAACCAUGGUGCCAGUGUGAACGCGGUGAACAAGGAGGGUUAUACACCAUUGCACCACGCUGCACGUGAGGGUCAUGAUGAUAUCUUACAACUGUUGCUUAACCAUGGUGCCAGUGUGAACGCGGAGGACAAUGAUGAUGAUACACCAUUGCACGACGCUG